AUGGACCUGUGUUCAGAUAUCAGUUUAGCGAAAUAAAAUGAAACUCCGCGUGUAUUUUAUGAUUUUUGAGCUUAAUAUUUGGAUUUUUGCUUUACCAAAAUCUUUUAUGUUUCUUGACCCACCAAAAUUUGGCUUCCAUAUAGACGGACAUGCAUUACCUCUAGUUGCCACUGCUAAUUGCAUUUACCCGCAGCCUGCUCUUCGGAACGUUGCAUUGCAUUAUCGGAUAGAGAAUGAAGACACCUUUCAACAGUUCACAAAAAGAAAACUUA